rnacentral:lncRNA from 1 species
GAAAGAGGAGCUGGCUGCAAAACUGUGCAGAUUAGCAAGCCAAGUCAGUGCCACCCAGUUUUCAUCCACAGAUGAUGAGUUGGAUAGCACAGGCAGAGGUGAAGAGGAGGAGGAGGAGGAGGAUGAAGGGACCUUGUGGAAAAUGGAGGCUGAAAACGCAGUCCAGGUGGCUCCGCUGCGCGACUUGGUCAGUCUGGUCAGCGCAUCUCAGUUCUCCUCCACUGAAGAUGAGCUGGACAGAGUAGGAGAGGACGAGCUAGAGAGGAAUAAAGAGGUGAGCAAAGGAGACGCUGUCCUCGACAGUGAGAGUGCCGAGGACAGAGAGCAGCCACAGCUUAUGACGACUGAGAAGGGAGAAGACGUGGAAACAAAUGAUAAGGGGAGAGGAAGUGAUUCAGAUAUGAACAUGUUUUAUUUUGAGGUCGGCUCAGAAGGAGAUAAGGUGACAGAUGCAAGCAAUGUUGAAAAAGACAUAAAGAAUAAAGAGAGCAGUGAAGGCACAGCAACAGCUCAGAAUGUGUCGGACACAGAGAAAGUGGAGUGUGUCCAACAAGGUAAAACAGAGGCAGAGGAAUCAGAGAAGAAAGAUUACGUGGAAGAGGAGCUAAUAGAAGAUAAGUAUGAGGAUGAAAGGCUCGCAGAAGAGGUAGGAGAGGUAGAAGUUUCAACAUUUUUGUCUGAUGGAGGGAAAGAAGCAGUGGAAACACAAGGGUUAAAAAUAGAGGUGGAAGCAGAAAGAAUGAAGGAAAGGAUUGAGGAAAGGAUAACGACAGGCUCAGGUGAGGCAGGAGUCCCACAAGAGAAUAUAUUACCGUGUAAACGAGAGGCGGAGCGGUCGGAGGAGACAGAUGGAGAAGAGAAACAGGCGGAGGAAAAGAUGAGAGGAUUCAGAGAGGGAAUCGGGAGAUGGGACACUGCCAAAAGUGAUGAAGAGGAUGUGGAAUUUGACCGAAUAAUUAGCAGCAUGUUGAUGAUGUCUGUGGAGGAGAUUCAGGUAGACUCAUCAGCUGACACAGCAAAGGAUAGAUUUGGGGAAUUAGGG